AUCAACCCACCUCGUUUGUAGGAUAAUCUAGGUUUUGAUCCAACUAAUGAAAAGGGAACCUUAAGUGACUUCAGGAGUACGGCAAGCCUUCUCAGGAUGGAAGCCGGAAACUGUCGGCCUGGUGCCCACCUGCAUGUGCAGGGUCAUAAAACUUAGAGUCUUACGGCCAGGCGGGAUUAUU
rnacentral:other from 1 species